rnacentral:rRNA from 1 species
GACGAACGCUGGCGGCGUGCUUAACACAUGCAAGUCGAACGGAAAGGCCCUGCUUUUGUGGGGUGCUCGAGUGGCGAACGGGUGAGUAACACGUGAGUAACCUGCCCUUGACUUUGGGAUGACUUCAGGAAACUGGGGCUAAUACCGGAUAGGAGCUCCUGCUGCAUGGUGGGGGUUGGAAAGUUUCGGCGGUUGGGGAUGGACUCGCGGCUUAUCAGCUUGUUGGUGGGGUAGUGGCUUACCAAGGCUUUGACGGGUAGCCGGCCUGAGCGGGUGACCGGCCACAGUGGGACUGAGAUAGGGCCCGGACUCCUACGGGAGGCAGCAGUGGGGAUUAUUGCACAAUGGGCGGAAGCCGGAUGCAGCAACGCCGCGUGCGGGAUGACGGCCUUCGGGUUGUAACCCGCUUUCGCCUGUGACGAAGCGUGAGUGACGGUAAUGGGUAAAGAAGCACCGGCUAACUACGUG